AAAUAAUGAAUGGAUAGCCAUACUUGUUUACGGGUCAAGGUGUUUUAUUAUUUU
rnacentral:tRNA from 1 species